CCUACGGGAGGCAGCAGUGAGGAAUAUUGGUCAAUGGACGAGAGUCUGAACCAGCCAAGUAGCGUGAAGGAUGACUGCCCUAUGGGUUGUAAACUUCUUUUAUAUGGGAAUAAAACAGGGUAUGCAUACCCUCUUGUAUGUACCAUAUGAAUAAGGAUCGGCUAACUCCGUGCCAGCAGCCGCGGUAAUACGGAGGGUCCGAGCGUUAUCCGGAUUUAUUGGGUUUAAAGGGAGCGUAGGUGGAUUGUUAAGUCAGUUGUGAAAGUUUGCGGCUCAACCGUAAAAUUGCAGUUGAAACUGGCAGUCGUGAGUACAGUAGAGGUGGGCGGAAUUCGUGGUGUAGCGGUGAAAUGCUUAGAUAUCACGAAGAACUCCGAUUGCGAAGGCAGCUCACUGGACUGCAACUGACACUGAGGCUCGAAAGUGUGGGUAUCAAACAGGAUUAGAUACCCCGGUAGUC
rnacentral:rRNA from 1 species